AACACAUGCAAGUCGAACGAGGCGUUGCCAUCGGAAGGUUUCGGAGUAGGAAGAAGGCAAGACCGAGUGGCGGACGGGUGGAGUAACGGCGUGGGAACCUGCCCAUUCCGGGGAUACCAGUGGAACGACUGUUAAUACCGCAUAAGCGCACGGCAUCGCAUGAUGCAGUGUGAAAAAACCACGGUGGAAUGGGAUGGCCCCGCGUCUGAUUAGCCAGUUGGCAGGGUAACGGCCUACCAAAGCGACGAUCAGUAGCCGGCCUGAGAGGGCGACCGGCCACAUUGGGACUGAGACACGGCCCAAACUCCUACGGGAGGCAGCAGUGGGGAAUAUUGCACAAUGGGGGGAAACCCUGAUGCAGCGAACCGCCGCGUGAGUGAAGAAGUAUUUCGGUAUGUAAAGCUCUAUCAGCAGGGAAGAAGAUGACGGUACCUGCACAAGAAGCCCCGGCUAACUACGUGCCAGCAGCCGC
rnacentral:rRNA from 1 species